AUCAACAAGUGCAUUGGUAUGGAAGAUCAAGCAAUGUCGUUAAAGGUGUGCCUAAGAUGUAAGGCGUAAACCUCGAGGCCUCAAAAAGCAAAAGGCAAGUGGCAUUAGCGAGGUGUGCCUUGCACCUUGCACCAAGCGCAAGGCACACCAAGGCGUGCCUCAAGCACAUUUCAUUCAUCCUCAUUUCUUUUUUCAAUUUCAACCUAGUACCAACCACACCCAAUCAUAUCAACACGACACCCUCUCAUUAGGCAAUCUAGAAGCCCUAAAAAAAGGGAGAUAAAACCUGUGAUUUUUGUUGUUGUGCCUACUAGUGCAUUUGAACCAAGUUUUUUUUUUAUUAUUA
rnacentral:misc_RNA from 1 species